rnacentral:sRNA from 1 species
GUCAGGUGCGGAGGCGCACUCCUGUAAUCCCAGCAGCUUGGGAGGCUGAGACUUGAGGAUCGUGAGUUCAAAGGCAGCCUCAGCAAGGACGAAGCCCUAAGCAACUCAGUAAGAUCCUGUCUCUA